rnacentral:snRNA from 1 species
GUAUCAAAGCGGAUAUCCGCA